UGAGGAAUAUUGGUCAAUGGGCGGGAGCCUGAACCAGCCAAGUCGCGUGAGGGAAGACGGUCCUAUGGAUUGUAAACCUCUUUUGUCGGGGAGCAAAGAGACCCACGGGUGGGUUGAUGAGAGUACCCGAAGAAAAAGCAUCGGCUAACUCCGUGCCAGCAGCCGCGGUAAUACGGAGGAUGCGAGCGUUAUCCGGAUUUAUUGGGUUUAAAGGGUGCGUAGGCGGGCUGUUAAGUCAGCGGUAAAAUCGAGGGGCUCAACCCCUUUCAGCCGUUGAAACUGGCGGUCUUGAGUGAAUGAGAAGUAUGCGGAAUGCGUGGUGUAGCGGUGAAAUGCAUAGAUAUCACGCAGAACUCCGAUUGCGAAGGCAGCAUACCGGCAUUCAACUGACGCUGAGGCACGAAAGCGUGGGGAUCAAACAGG
rnacentral:rRNA from 1 species